AAAACAUGCUAAGAAUACAACUGACUGUAUUUACACAUCGAUUCCAUGUUGCAACUUCAAUACAUUUUUUUGUUCUUAACUCGCUUGUGGUGAAAUCUGUUACAUGAUAGAGUUUAUCCACAUGGUAAAUCUAUGUAAACUACGUACGUAGGUGUUUAAGUAACUGUCGCAAAGGCUUGAAAUAUUCACCACUACCAUCUUUAGGCAACUUACCCAGACGAUAGCUGCAAGUAACCUUGACCUUGAUAAAAAACGGAAAGUGCAGCACUGGUUCAUUAUAAUGCAACAGUAAGCAUGCUAUUUGCACAGUGUGUGUGUGUGUGU